rnacentral:misc_RNA from 1 species
AGUAAACUUCUAGAGUUAUUAGGUUUCUCAUAUUUCGUAAUGGCUCAACGGUUCAAUUAAAUAUUUCCCCAACCCCAACAACUUGACGUUACUUUGCUAUAGAUUUAUGGGUUCCUUUUAAAACUUUGAGAGGCUCUUUUAAAAGAACAAAUUUAAUGUAGUGUGCGGAAAUCUAUAUAUAAUUUAUAUAUAAUUAUUUAAUCUAAUGGUUAAUUAGGUUAAUUUCGUAUGAGUUUGAGCGGUCUGUAUUUAUGUCAAAUUAAAAAUACAAGAGCAUAGCAGUAGCAAAUUAAAGAGAAUGAAAGGAAUGAGAAAAAGAAAAAGAAAAAAGUAAAAAACAAAAGGAUUGGGAAUUUUGAAGUUGAAAAAGAAAAGGAUAAAAAAAAAAUGGAGUGAUUUAUAAAUUAUAGCUUGCGGCCGCAUUCUGUGAAUCACUAGUCAAUGAGAUUAUUGAUAUAAAAUUUUACAAAAGAAUAAUGAUGUUGCCUUGUAUAAUUAAUUUUAAUCAUUCUAUUCUAUCACUAAACCUUUCUUUUUCAUCUCGGUUGAAAAUUAUUCAUU